CUGCAGCCAAUUAAGCCGACCAUGCUCUUUUACCCGUGGGGGCUUGGUGUGCAAUGGUUGCAAACAGUAACAUCCUCGGUUGUGUAUGUAGCCUAUUGCUAGUAUGGGUUGCUUUAAGGGACCUUGGAUACAGCC